GCUGGUACUCAUACGCCAACACGUCAGAUUUGGUAACCGCCCAUUUCAUGCCGCAUUUUUGGUUCUUGGAAAGCGUUUGAAGUAUAAGAAGGCGAUAGCGUUCAGGCGUGAAGAAUAUGUCUGCAGGUGGAUAAUGUUGAAACCUUGCUUACUUGCUUACUUUGGCCUACUUGGAUGCUUGUGAAGCUGGAGUCACAAUACAGAGGCCAACUAUCAA